AUUGCACCACUGCACUCCAGCCUGGCGAAAGAGCGAGACUCCAUCUCAAAAAAAAAAAUAGAUCUCGGUUUGUGCCCAGGUAAGAGAAGGAGCAGACACCACAUUAGAUUCUGGGCUCCUUCACCCAGAAUGGCAGCAACAUAUCUUUGGCUCUAUACAUCUUGUGCUGGCUUCUAGUCUCGUCUCUGACACUAGUUUUCUCUGUGAAUUGUAGGAGACCAAAAUAUGACUGUAGGGGACCAGAAUAUACCACCCUAGCAUAUGCCUCUCUGGCAUAAGGAUUAUUUUGAGUUAAUUAUUUUGAGAAUCUGCAGACACAGGAGAAACUGAAAACAGAGUAGAAGUUACCCUUUCAUAUGGGAAAUUUACAUUUACAAAGGAAAUCUCCCUUUGUAAGGAUGUCUCCCUCUCUGUACCAGGAAGAGAAGGAUGUCUCCAAAUCACUAGAGACUUAUCAAUGGAUAAGCACUGACUUUAAUAUGCAUAGCAAACCUUACCCUUGUUUACUGUGCUUUUCCUGGUCACCUCCCCAUAACUGGCCUCCCUCAUACCCUUCUUUCUUCGUUUCAGCUGAAGAUGGUAUUUCAGCCUGAAUUCUAAACCACUUCCUUGAGAUGUACUCCUUUUUCCCUGGGCAUCUCCCAUGUGUACAUGAGGUAUAGAGGUUAAUAAACUUCUGUUUGUUUUUCUCUUGUUAAUCUGUCUUUUGUUACAGGUGUUCCAGCCAAUGAACCUAAGAAAGGUGGAAGGAAAAGGUAUUUUUCCUCCUCUACAGAAUCUGGAUGACCCAGGGGCUCCUGUCUUCCUUAGUUUCCUAUUUCUAAACAAGGACUUUGAAUAUUGAUGCCUGAGCGUUUUUUCCAAAUUCUUUUCUCACUGAACUCCCUCUGAGCCCUUGCCUCAUGGUGUGGGGCAGUAGAGAACAUGGUGAGAAAAGAAAAAUAGCUCAGAGCGGUCUAAGCCCUGCAAAACUGAUCAGGCCCUGAGAGACAGGAGUUUGGGAAUUCAGUCAUACACAUCCCUCCUCAUACUCCACCCAGGCCCAGGAGCAAUUGUUCAAAGGGAUUCUGUUCCUGACUAGCUGCCUCACCCAUUAUCUUCAGGUUCCUAAAUUUGUGAUACAAAGAAUAGCAAAUGACGAAUGAACAGCUUAUGUUGUUGUUAUUAUUAUUAUUACUUGUUUUUUAGAGACAGGGUCUCACUCUGUUGUCCAGGCUGGAGGGUAGUAGCAUGAUCAUUGCUUACUGAAGCCUCAACCUCCUCUACUCAAGCAAUCCUCCUGCCUCAGCCUCUGGAGUAGCUGGGACUACAGCCAGUUUUUACCUUUAGGGCAACAAUGGGGAAGAGAAUCCUUGAGGUCAAUGACACCAGGACAGCUCAGUUGCAAAUUCCUUGUCCCUUCAUCCUUAGAAAUGCGCCAGUAACCUCUCUGUGCCUACUCGGGCUUGGGAGCCUGCCUGAUUUAAAAAAGAAGGAGAAGGAGAAGGAGAUGAAGAAGGAGAAGGAAGAGGAAGAAAGAAGAGAAAGAAAGAAGAGGAAGAGGAGGAGGAAGAAGAAGAGAAAGAAGAGGAGAAGGAGGAAGAAGGAGGAGGAGGAGGAGGAGGAGAAGAAGAAGGAGAAGGAGAAGGGAAGAAGGAAGAAGAAGAAACAACUUGUCAGACUGAGAGACCUGACUUUUGCUUUGGAAAAUUGGUCCUGGAAGUUCAGAGCAUUUACUGUAAACCUCUCCUGGGUGAUCAGCGAGGAGUUGGGAGCCUCUUGCUCCCAGCAUGUAUGUUGACUCCAAGGGAGGUGGUGAGUUGCUUAAGGCUGGUGGUGGCUAAUCAGGCCCAGAGACAAGGCACCCUGUCUCCCAGGCCAGAUGCUUCUUCUACAGUGUUGUAACUGCAAUAGGUCCAUGGCCUGAUGCAUUCAGCAAGUCACCAUGUAAUUGCCCAGUGGGUUCUUUCUGCCUGCUGCACAGACAAAACCCAUUCACUGAUACUGUGGUAUUAUAGUAAAGAAUUUAAUUAAUGAUAGGCCAGCCACAUGGGAGAACUGGAGAUUGCUCAAAUCAAUCUCCUUGAAGGCUUGGAGGUUAGAAUUGUUCAAGGAUAGUUUGGUGGGCAGGGAACUAAGGAAUGGGUGCUGCUGAUUGGCCAGGGAUGCAAUCACAGUGGGAAACUGUCCUCAUCCACUGUGUCUGCCUCUGUUUGGGGUGAGGGCACAGGACUGGUUGAGUCGUGAAUCAUUAAGUCCAGGUGGGCUCAGUUGGUUGCCAGAAUGCAGAAGUCUGAGAUACAUCUCAGAAGACUAAUCUUAGAUUCUGGGAUCGGUAGUGGUGGUAUCUGUAGGAGCAAUGGGGAAGUCACAAAACUUGUGACCUCUAGCCACAACAAUUCCUUAGCAAUAAGAGAUGAUGGAAACUAUGCCCUACAUUUUUUUUUGUUUUUUUUUGAGACGGAGUCUCACUCUGUCACCCAGGCUGGAGUACAGUGGUGCAAUCUCAGCUCACUGCAACCUCCACCUCCCAGGUUCAAGUGAUUCUCCUGCCUCAGCCUCCCAAGUAGCUGGGACUACAGGCAUGAGCCACCAUGCCCGGCUAAUUUUUUUUUUUUUUGUAUUUUUAGUACAGACAGGGUUUCACCCCGCUGGCCAGGCUGGUCUCAAACUCCUUACCUCGUAAACUGCUGCCUCAGCCUCCCAAAGUGAUGGGAUUACAGGCAUGAGCCAACGUGCCCGGCCCCGCCCUACAUUUAAGCAGAAUUCAGGCCCCUUCUAUAUUUGUAAUCUUGUGGCCUUCCAUUGGUCUUACAAAGGCAGUUUCAGCCCCCUAACAAGGAGGGGAUCAGUUUUAGAGAGGGACUAUUAUCAUCCUUUCUUCAAAGUUAAACUGUAAACUAAAUUCCUCCCAUGGUUAGCUUGGCCUAUGCCCAGGAAUGAGUGAGGACAGCCAGCCUGGGGGGCUAGAAGCAAGAGGGAGUCAGCCUUGCUAGACUUCUCUCACUGUCAUAAUCUUUGCAAAGGCAAUUUUAAAUAUGCCCAAGACACCAGACUGCAGCAGAGAAAGAGGUUUAAUUGUAGGGCCACCAAACAAGGAGACAGGAGGAAACCUCAAAUCCGACUCUCUGAGGAGUUUGGGGAUAGUGUCUUUAAGGGUUUUGGAGUGUGCCAAAGUGUGGAGAUUGUUGAUUGGUCAAAGAGUGCAGGUUGGAGCCAUAAGACAGGCAGGUGAAGAAACUGUAUUCUCAUAUUGAUUCUGUUCUUCUCUGGGGGUCUUCAAACUGGUUGGCAUAAGCUGUCUUACUGGAAUUGGGGAUCUGAAAGACAUUGUAAGCAAUUUUUAAAUGAGAGCCCUGUGAUUCUAAUGUCAGAGAUCCUAUCUAGCUUAAACAAAAGUCUUGUGGUUCUAACAUCAGAAAUCCUAUCUAUAGGAACCAUGGGGAUGCAAACGGCCAGUAUCUAUCUAGUCCUACCAUGACUGUUGGUUACAAGGAAGCUGGUCAAAGUGCGGCCUGAUUAAUGCUUAAUCAUAACCAUAUUUCUGUUCAGAAUUCUUGUUAACCCUGUGAAGACAGCUUCAAUGUCACAGAGCUGCCUGUAGGAAUGAACGCCUUACACUUCAGACCUGGCCCUCUUCACCUGCCCUUUCCAUGCUGCCAACAGGGCCUUCCAGUGGCAGCGGUGACCAGUCACUGGGAAAGCCCAGCUGAGUCAAUGUUUGCUGGCUAACUGCAGAAGGAAUGAUGAACUGGUCCCCAUGAAUGGAGAGGUCCAACACAAAGCUAUGCUAAUUUUUCAUAAGCUCUGCCUGCCGCCUUUUAUAUAUCAACCUGAAAUGUAAUUAUCUUUAUGGCUGGUGGAGUAAAUCACCAGUAUGUGUCAAAGA